CCUACGGGUGGCAGCAGUGAGGAAUAUUGGUCAAUGGGCGCGAGCCUGAACCAGCCAAGUCGCGUGAGGGAAGACGGUCCUAUGGAUUGUAAACCGCUUUUGUCGGGGAGCAAAAGACGCCACGCGUGGCGUUCCGAGAGUACCCGAAGAAAAAGCAUCGGCUAACUCCGUGCCAGCAGCCGCGGUAAUACGGAGGAUGCGAGCGUUAUCCGGAUUUAUUGGGUUUAAAGGGUGCGCAGGCGGAAGAUCAAGUCAGCGGUAAAAUUGAGAGGCUCAACCUCUUCGAGCCGUUGAAACUGGUGUUCUUGAGUGAGUGAGAAGUAUGCGGAAUGUGUGGUGUAGCGGUGAAAUGCAUAGAUAUCACGCAGAACUCCGAUUGCGAAGGCAGCAUACCGGCGCUCAACUGACGUUCAUGCACGAAAGUGUGGGUAUCGAACAGGAUUAGAUACCCCUGUAGUC
rnacentral:rRNA from 1 species